rnacentral:miRNA from 1 species
UCAGGGUCCGUGAGCUCCUCGGC